GAUGAACGCUGGCGGCGUGCUUAACACAUGCAAGUCGAACGGAGUUCCUUGGAUAGAGGCUUCGGCCAAUUGAAUUGGAACUUAGUGGCGGACUGGUGAGUAACGCGUGAGGAACCUGCCUUUCAGAGGGGGACAACAGCUGGAAACGGCUGCUAAUACCGCAUGACACAUUUGGGUGGCAUCACUUGAAUGUCAAAGAUUUUAUCGCUGAAAGAUGGCCUCGCGUCUGAUUAGCUAGUUGGUGAGGUAACGGCCCACCAAGGCGACGAUCAGUAGCCGGACUGAGAGGUUGAUCGGCCACAUUGGGACUGAGAUACGGCCCAGACUCCUACGGGAGGCAGCAGUGGGGAAUAUUGGGCAAUGGACGCAAGUCUGACCCAGCAACGCCGCGUGAAGGAAGAAGGCUUUCGGGUUGUAAACUUCUUUUAUCAGGGAAGAGUAGAAGACGGUACCUGAUGAAUAAGCCACGGCUAACUACGUGCCAGCCGCCGCCGUAAUAC
rnacentral:rRNA from 1 species